rnacentral:misc_RNA from 1 species
GGCCGUGCAACAAGAAAACCAAUCCCCUGACUUUGAAGGAAACAGGUGUCCAGGAUUGCGUGAACAUAGUUUCUCCUCUGGCCGUAACAAAAAGCGAAAACUCCCUCAGCGUUUCUCUAUCGUCUUCCUGAAGUACCCUUCUUAUCGCCAGCGAUCGUCUCGCCGCCACCUCCUGCUCCACCACGCUCUUCCACGGCACCAUUUUCGAUGGCACUCGAACCACCGGACCUUUCCUCUCCACCGCCUUUUCUUCCUUCCCAAUGCCGCCUUUCUCCUGCGACCCAGACGACGCCAUCAUCGUCGCCGGUGACGCCAUCCUCCU